rnacentral:lncRNA from 1 species
UGAUUUUGAAAAAUGUACUUGAUGUUGAUCAAGCACCUUUGAAUUUAGUAUUUUUGAAAGAUUAAUUUUAAUAUUCAUUUUGUCUUUUUGGAUUAACAAUUAUGCAUCAACUAAAAAUACAAUAAAAUAAACUAAAAAAUAAAACAAUAAAAAGGUGAAAGAAAUAAUAAAUGGGAUGGGACACACUAUCAACGCAAGAGGUAAAAGAAUUUAAAAAACUAAAUAAAAUAAAACAAAAAACAAAAAUAAAUAGAUAAAGCAAUAAGAAGAAAA